CGGAUGGUUAACGUCAUACACCACAACGGGUUUUCUGACUAAUUCCAGUGAGAAGAAAUUACAUAUUUCAUUUCUAUUUUACCACUCUCUGGUGCAUUUUUUUCUUAUUUAUAUUGAUUUACAUAGUGAUCCGGUAUGUCGACUCCUGCUAGAAGGCGGUUAAUGAGAGAUUUUAAAAGGCUCCAAGAAGACCCGCCUGCAGGUGUUAGUGGUGCUCCUUCAGAAAAUAACAUAAUGCUCUGGAAUGCCGUGAUAUUUGGGCCUCAUGACACACCUUUUGAAGAUGGUA